UACGAGGGGGGCAAGCGUUGCUCGGAAUUACUGGGCGUAAAGGGUCCGUAGGCGGUGCGGCAAGUCGAGAGUGAAAUCCCUAGGCUUAACCUAGGGGCUGCUAGCGAAACUGCCGUGCUAGAGUGUGAGAGAGGCGAGUGGAAUUACGGGUGUAGCGGUGAAAUGCGUAGAUAUCCGUAGGAACAUCCGAGGCGAAAGCGGCUCGCUGGAUCACAACUGACGCUGAGAGACGAAAGCUAGGGGAGCAAACAG
rnacentral:rRNA from 1 species